UGGAAUUGAGCAUUCUGGGCCUGGAGAUCUUUGACAGUUUGUUCGAGAGCCAUUGUUCAAUCUGUUUGAAUCUGCUGGAAUCUGUUUGAUAGGAAAAUCGUGAGAACACUGAUCCUUUAGAAUACCUGUUAUGCGAUGCAAUGCAAUGUAUGAAAUGUUUUCAAGGACUUUCGGGAUUUAACUUUGCAUAAACUAACAAAAAGAGCUUUUUUUUUUUUUUUUCUUUUGUUUUUGCUUUUGUUUUUGUUUUUUCUGUUUUUUUUUUUAGCAGAGUUAAAUCCCUAAAUCCUUGAAAUGGUUAGUACAAUGCCAUGAUGUUAUGAUGUUAUGUUGUUAUGAUGUCAUGUUGUUAGAUAAAUAACAAGCACAAGCAAGUCACACAACAAUCAUUCCUAGGUUUUAAGGCUUGCGUGAGUUCCAUAGGUAAAUACCCUCCCCACUGAAGUUUGGUUGGUUCAACCUGUCUUAGAAUAGUAACCGGGUUCUAGAAGGAUCUCAAAUCAUUGACCUUUCCUUAAGUCCACUUCAGUGCAACACCAAGUGGUUGACCGAAGCUUCCCUAAAGUCCAAUCUCAAAGAGUGUAGUAUCGAGUCUCAACCAACUCCAGUCGGAACCGAAGCCAG
rnacentral:lncRNA from 1 species